rnacentral:lncRNA from 1 species
CUCGGUUUUAUAUUUAAUUUUAAUGUGCUCUUCUGAGAAGUGUUAUAUUCCUGAGGGAGAGAGAGAGAGAUGGGUUGCCUGGGAGACACGGUUCUCAGGCCAGAAUCUCUGUUGUCUACGAAGUAGCGUGGACAUUACAGAAAGUUACCAUACGAUGGAAUGAUUGGAGAAGAGAUCGCUUGACUAGAAGAAGGCGUUGGGAGGCAGAUGCAUGGGCGGGAACACGCCUGCGCGUUCUCGCCGUGCGCGCCAGAUGGCGGGGCUACCCCUCUCCUGACGCCCAGCGGCUCCUGAGCCGGUCACACACACUAAGCAGGCCAAGGUGUGUUCCUGCCGGACAAUGGUGCAACUGUUCACUCUCCAGGAGCAGGGGGCGUGGCUUGUCAUCGGCUUGCUACAAGGGUUUCUGCUCGGUCAGGAAGUGCUGGCCCUUGGCCCUGCCCUGGGUUGCUCUGCCGCUGUUCCCCCCACCCUCCAAGGGGUACUCAUCACCUAUCCAGGCGCAUCACGUUGCUCUGCAGACUCGGGGCGGGGAACUGGUGUAGAGACGCUGACGCACUGUGAGGUGAGGCUGCUGUGAAUAACACUCUCUCAUCUCUGAUCCAGAGACCCAUGUCUUCUGUCACAUUCCCGAAACGUCUGUGCUCGCGGAAGGAGACCCCGCAAAACAACAGAAAGAAAACCAAAGAACCUCUUCUGUGCCUGGGCAGUCCUCAGCCACCUCACGAGGGGCUCAGGGAUUUCUCUGCUCUGCCACGGAACGCAGGACGCAGUGUGACUGGGGUCCCUGUUUUGAGCAGCAGCUUUCAGCAGACUGGCUGGUCUGCCGGUCUUCCUUCUCUCUUCGCUUUGGCAACAAGAAACUUCUCUGUCAGACCGAUUCCCUGGGUGAGAUGGUGUGGAGCCGGGCCACAGCCAAAUGGUGAUGAGCAUGUAGCAUGAAAGAGGAAAAACCCUAUAUUUUAUCAUGAGAACAAAGAAUAGAGAAAGGCAGAAAGAAGAAGGGUGAGAACAUCCUGGGCAGCCUCUUCCCUGAGGCUCCUGGAGCUGGCCUGGUUCAUGCCUUCUUAAAGCCUAAUCCUUAGAGUCUAUAAAAUAAUUCAUUGUUUUUCUAAUAAACUUCC